rnacentral:rRNA from 1 species
UCUGUGCCAGCAGCCGCGGUAAUACAGAGGGUGCAAGCGUUAAUCGGAAUUACUGGGCGUAAAGCGAGCGUAGGUGGCUUGAUAAGUCAGAUGUGAAAUCCCCGGGCUUAACCUGGGAACUGCAUCUGAUACUGUUAGGCUAGAGUAGGUGAGAGGAAGGUAGAAUUUCAGGUGUAGCGGUGAAAUGCGUAGAGAUCUGGAGGAAUACCGAUGGCGAAGGCAGCUUUCUGGCAUCAUAUUGACACUGAGGCUCGAAAGCGUGGGUAGCAAACAGGAUUAGAUACCCUGGUAGUCCACGCCGUAAACGAUGUCUACUAGUCGUUGGGUCCCUUGAGGACUUAGUGACGCAGCUAACGCAAUAAGUAGACCGCCUGGGGAGUACGGCCGCAAGGUUAAAACUCAAAUGAAUUGACGGGGGCCCGCACAAGCGGUGGAGCAUGUGGUUUAAUUCGAUGCAACGCGAAGAACCUUACCUGGUCUUGACAUACCCAGAAUCUUGUAGAGAUACGGGAGUGCCUUCGGGAAUUAGAAUACAGGUGCUGCAUGGCUGUCGUCAGCUCGUGUCGUGAGAUGUUGGGUUAAGUCCCGCAACGAGCGCAACCCUUGUCCUUAGUUACCAGCGGGUUAAGCCGGGAACUCUAAGGAUACUGCCAGUGACAAACUGGAGGAAGGCGGGGACGACGUCAAGUCAUCAUGGCCCUUACGACCAGGGCUACACACGUGCUACAAUGGUAGGUACAGAGGGCAGCUACACAGCGAUGUGAUGCGAAUCUUUCAAAGCCUAUCGUAGUCCAGAUUGGAGUCUGCAACUCGACUCCAUGAAGUAGGAAUCGCUAGUAAUCGCGGAUCAGAAUGCCGCGGUGAAUACGUUCCCGGGCCUUGUACACACCGCCCGUCACACCAUGGGAGUUGAUUGCACCAGAAGUGGUUAGCCUAACGUAAGAGGGCG